GGAAAAAUUAUUGAAGUCAGUUUACUAAAAACAACUGAAAAUUGCUGUUCGUGAUAUCACACGGCAUCUGUUGAAGUUGCUGCCGUUUGGUGGUUCUACGUUUAAUCAAACCGCUGCCUUUGAAACUGUGCAAGAGGAAAGAGAAACUUUGCUGCUUCACCUACGACAUCGAAAUGGAACAUUCCUCGAUGGUUGUGUGAUAAAGGUUUUGAGGCGCAUUUAAUAAACGUUGAACGACAAGGCAUCGCUGGUUAGUGUUUAACACCAUACAAACGGUAUCGACAUAUGACCGCAAUUGCAUGCAUAUGGCGUGCG